rnacentral:rRNA from 1 species
AACGAACGCUGGCGGCAGGCCUAACACAUGCAAGUCGAACGAAGUCUUCGGGCUUAGUGGCGGACGGGUGAGUAACACGUGGGAACGUGCCUUUAGGUUCGGAAUAACUCAGGGAAACUUGUGCUAAUACCGAAUGUGCCCUUCGGGGGAAAGAUUUAUCGCCUUUAGAGCGGCCCGCGUCUGAUUAGCUAGUUGGUGAGGUAAAGGCUCACCAAGGCUACGAUCAGUAGCUGGUCUGAGAGGAUGACCAGCCACAUUGGGACUGAGACACGGCCCAAACUCCUACGGGAGGCAGCAGUGGGGAAUCUUGCGCAAUGGGCGAAAGCCUGACGCAGCCAUGCCGCGUGGAUGAUGAAGGUCUUAGGAUUGUAAAAUCCUUUCACCGGUGAAGAUAAUGACUGUAGCCGGAGAAGAAGCCCCGGCUAACUUCGUGCCAGCCGCCGCGGUAUAC